rnacentral:rRNA from 1 species
AUACUGGCGGCAGCAGUGGGGAAUUUUGGACAAUGGGCGCAAGCCUGCUCCAGCAAUGCCGCGUGCGUGAAGAAGGCCUUCGGGUUGUAAAGCUCUUUUGUCGGGGAAGAAACGGUGAAGGCUAAUAUCCUUUGCUAAUGACGGUACCUGAAGAAUAAGCACCGGCUAACUACGUGCCAGUAGCCGCGGUAAUACGUAGGGUGCAAGCGUUAAUCGGAAUUACUGGGCGUAAAGCGUGCGCAGGCGGUUUUGUAAGUUUGUCGUGAAAUCCCCGGGCUCAACCUGGGAAUGGCGAUGAAGACUGCAAGGCUAGAAUCUGGCAGAGGGGGGUAGAAUUCCACGUGUAGCAGUGAAAUGCGUAGAGAUGUGGAGGAACACCGAUGGCGAAGGCAGCCCCCUGGGUCAAGAUUGACGCUCAUGCACGAAAGCGUGGGGAGCAAACAGGAUUAGAUACCCUGGUAGC